GCCAGUGUGGCAUAGUGGUUUGCGUGUUGGACAACAACUCUGGAGAUCAGGGUUCGAUUUCCCACUUGAA